rnacentral:rRNA from 1 species
UACAGAGGGGGCGAGCGUUGUUCGGAAUUACUGGGCGUAAAGGGCGCGUAGGCGGCCAACUAAGUCAGACGUGAAAUCCCUCGGCUCAACCGGGGAACUGCGUCUGAUACUGGAUGGCUUGAAUUCGGGAGAGGGAUGCGGAAUUCCAGGUGUAGCGGUGAAAUGCGUAGAUAUCGGGAGGAACACCAGUGGCGAGGGCGACUACCUGGCCUGUUCUUGACGCUGAGGCGCGAAAGCUAGGGGAGCAAACGGG